rnacentral:rRNA from 1 species
AUUGAACGCUGGCGGCAUGCCUUACACAUGCAAGUCGAACGGCAGCACGGGAGCAAUCCUGGUGGCGAGUGGCGAACGGGUGAGUAAUAUAUCGGAACGUGCCCAGUAGUGGGGGAUAACUGCUCGAAAGAGCAGCUAAUACCGCAUGAGACCUGAGGGUGAAAGCGGGGGAUCGCAAGACCUCGCGCUAUUGGAGCGGCCGAUAUCAGAUUAGCUAGUUGGUGGGUAAAGGCCUACCAAGGCAACGAUCUGUAGUUGGUCUGAGAGGACGACCAGCCACACUGGGACUGAGACACGGCCCAGACUCCUACGGGAGGCAGCAGUGGGGAAUUUUGGACAAUGGGCGCAAGCCUGAUCCAGCAAUG